rnacentral:rRNA from 1 species
AAUAAACGCUGGCGGCGUGCCUAACACAUGCAAGUCGAGCGAGAAAGCUCCUUCGGGAGUUAGUAAAGCGGCGAACGGGUGAGCAACACGUGAGAAUCUACCCUUUAGUGAAGAAUACCCUCGAGAAAUCGAGGCUAAUACUGCAUACGUCCCUUCGGGGAGAAAGAUGGCCUCUUUGCUAUCGCUAAAGGAUGAGCUUGCGUACUAUUAGCUAGUUGGCGGGGUAAAGGCCCACCAAGGCAAUGAUGGUUAACCGGCCUGAGAGGGUGUACGGUCACACUGGAACUUAGACACGGUCCAGACUCCUACGGGAGGCAGCAGUGAGGAAUCUUGCGCAAUGGGCGAAAGCCUGACGCAGCGACGCCGCGUGGAGGAUGACGGUUUUCGGAUUGUAAACUCCUGUUAAGCGGGAAGAAAGCCUUGUUUCUAAUACAAGCAAGGUAUGACGGUACCGCUAGAGAAAGCACCGGCUAACUUCGUGCCAGCAGCCGCGGUAAAGUCGUCA